rnacentral:rRNA from 1 species
GAGGGCUUUUCCUCAGUGUAAANAGCUGGGGGAAUAANGGGGGGGCAAGUCUGGUGUCAGCCGCCGCGGUAAUACCAGCUCCCUGAGUGAUAGGGANGAUUAUUUNGCCUAAAGCGUCCGUAGCCGGCUUAGCAAGUNUUUCGUUAAAUCCNNCGNCUUAAUCGCCNGNCNGCGGGAGAUACUGCUUNGCUAGAGGGCGGGAGAGGUANNCGGUAUUCCCUGGGUAGGGGUGAAAUCCUAUAAUCCNGGGAGGACCACCAAUGGCGAAGGCNGUCANCUAGAACGCGCCUGACGGUGAUGGACGAAAGCUGGGGGAGCGAACCGGAUUAGACACCCGGGUAGUCCCAGCUGUAAACGAUGCGCGGCUAGGUGUUGGG